rnacentral:ncRNA from 1 species
UGGGGACGGCAGGCUCCCCGCUGCAUCAGACGGCUUUCGUCCAAGCUCUGC